AAACCCUGAAGUUCAGCACUGUCCAACAGAUACCAGCCAUGAAAACCUACCCCAGUUUCACUAUUUUAUAUACUUUUAUCUUUUUCAGCUGGACAUUCAUUUUUUUACACUUUAGCCCUUGAAUUGUUGGCUUAAAAAUUAUCUCAAAGGAUAAAAAGCAUUAUAACCUGAAGAACGGAGUUUAAAAAGAGACCAUGUCUUUUCCUGGAACAAGCUACCAGCCACACCGAAGCAAAACAGCUAAAAAUGGAUUCUUAUCUAAUAAGGAAAGAACUGAAGAUAUUUAUGGAAACUUUUUCAUCCACUAAUAGAUUUACUUUGCUGGACUCUCAGCCUUUACCUACAGUUCUAACAGAUUCUGCAUGAUCUCUUCCUCCGAAUGAGUUAGGAGAAAGCUCUCUACAACCACCUUUGGAAACUCGCCAUGGAGAGGGAUGUUCUGAUACAGUGGAAAGAAAACCCGACCAGACCAUCACAGGCAGAAGCUGUGCUUUUAGUGACCAUCGCAAAGAGAGAAGGCUAUUUGCAAAGAAGUGAUACAUCCCUUUACAUAUACGAUUCUGGGGGAAAAUGGCAGCUGAAGACUUGGAGGCACAGUAGGAAUAUGAUACUUCCUGGUGAUUUAAAAAGUAAGCCUGAAUUUAAAAAAUGCCAACAAAAGGAAGAAAAAAGAAAUCCAUUUACUGAUAGUUGCUGAAUUUCUUUUCCCCAUGCAAGAUUCGGUGCAUCAUUUAAACUACCUUAAUGCUCCCAGGACCAGUCCAGGUGGACAUUCGUGGCACUAAAAUUAAUCUUUUUAAAAGAUACAGCAUUCAACUUUAUCCUCAGAAGCUACUACUGAAGCUACUAGAAGCUACUGAGCCAUCUACUUUUCCUCAGAAGACUGGGAAUUACACAUUAAAAUAUCUGAUUUCCAAAUCCAUUUAGCAGAAUGAUAAUCUGUUUCAAAGGCUGCUGUUUUCUGUUUUGUUUUGCAAGGUAAGCCAUAGGUGAUAUUUGACACUGAACAUGCUCCACUGAAUUUGACACUGAAUGUACUCCGAUACCUGCUUAACAUUAGACAUCUGGAUAAAUAUAUAGGGGGCCAACAAAUUUCAAAUUUCAAUUAUCUGAUAUCUUGGCUGUAAACUGCCCUGAGUCCUUCGGGAGAAGGGCGGUAUAGAAAUUAAAUUAUAAAUAAAUAAAUAAAUAGUCUGUAGAGAUUCUCAGUCAUCCAGGUCAUGGUUGUUCCAAAGGUGCUUUUUCAGGCGGCAACUGGACUUUGUUUUUUCUUUUGAAGACGUUUCACUUCUCAUCCAAGAAGCUUCUUCAGCUUUGACAGGAUAGUGGGGAAUGAAAGGAUUUAUAUUCCUUGCGGACAGUUGAUAAUUUGCAUCCUUUUAGAGGGUCAUUGAAGCAUUUGGAGGUUUAUCUGUGUCCUCAGGGUCACCUUGAGAUUAUAGAUUAUCUAAUGCAGUUGCCCCAAUAACUUAUUUCUAUGAUUAUUACUGUUGUGGCUUUGCUGGGAUGAAAUUGGGAAUGUUACAUGGUCAAGUUGAAAUCAUAUCCAUGACUGUAAUUUGUGU